AGCGAACGCUGGCGGCAGGCCUAACACAUGCAAGUCGAACGGAUCCUUCGGGAUUAGUGGCGGACGGGUGAGUAACGCGUGGGAACGUGCCCUUUGGUACGGAACAACUGAGGGAAACUUCAGCUAAUACCGUAUGUGCCCUUCGGGGAAAGAUUUAUCGCCAUUGGAGCGGCCCGCGUUGGAUUAGGUAGUUGGUGGGGUAAAGGCCCACCAAGCCUACGAUCCAUAGCUGGUCUGAGAGGANGAUCAGCCACACUGGGACUGAGACACGGCCCAGACUCCUACGGGAGGCAGCAGUAGGGAACCUUGCGCAAUGGGCGAAAGCCUGACGCAGCCAUGCCGCGUGAAUGAUGAAGGUCUUAGGAUUGUAAAAUUC
rnacentral:rRNA from 1 species